UCCUUUGAAGUUUGUCAAGAUCAACUUCGAUGAUAGAGUUAAGAAUGAUAGAAAUGAUACAGACUAUGUUAUCCGAUGUCCGAAUGCCAGAAUGUUGGCAGCAAAGGACUCACAUCUUUUUGAGCCUUCCAUCUUGAAAGCAGAGCUUCAUGCCGAUUUGGAUGGAUAUCAUUUGCGUGAAAUAGAAAUUAUAGACGAAGAGAAUUUUUAUUAAAGAUAUUC
rnacentral:lncRNA from 1 species